CAGUAGCCACGGUAAUACGAGGGGAGCUAGCGUUGUUCGGAAUUACUGGGCGUAAAGCGCGCGUAGGCGGCUUUUUAAGUCAGAAGUGAAAGCCCGGGGCUCAACCCCGGAAUUGCCUUUGAAACUGGAAAGCUAGAAUCUUGGAGAGGUCAGUGGAAUUCCGAGUGUAGAGGUGAAAUUCGUAGAUAUUCGGAAGAACACCAGUGGCGAAGGCGACUGACUGGACAAGUAUUGACGCUGAGGUGCGGAAGCGUGGGGAGCAAACAGGAUUAGAUACCCCUGUAGUCCCUGUCUCUUAUAA
rnacentral:rRNA from 1 species